UUCUAGUAAAGUUUUUAUGCA
rnacentral:piRNA from 1 species